GCUCCCGUAGUCUAGCCCGGUCAAGGAUGCGGCCCUCUCGAGGCCGAAACGCGGGUUCGAAUCCCGCCGGGAGCA
rnacentral:tRNA from 1 species